ensembl:lincRNA Gm10804 predicted gene 10804
UCUCUUUUCCAAACACAACAAACUCACCGCCACACACUGCCCUUCCUGUGACCUUGAAUCCAGAGACCACCAGGCCCAAAAGCCACCUGGAGGAUUUCACUACUGUCUCUGUGGUGGUCAGAAGGGCUGAGAGCAGAACGCAGGAGCCAGAAGACAAUGUCAGAACCCCUUGGAACUGGAGUUACAGACAGUUCCUGGGCCUUGAAUUCAUAUCGCGAAGCUUAGAAGUGAGCGCCCUUACAGGCUGAGCCACCUCUGGAUCCUACUGAACAUAUUUAAACAGUGUGUAUCUGCACUGGAGUCUUGGUGAGGAGUCACAGAGAGCAGCUCCUGCCAUUCCGUGCCUGCAGAGCCUCCUGGCAGCUGCUGGGAACUGGCAAUCCCCACCUUCCUCCUGGGCUGGUUUGAUAUGGGGUAAGGCCAGCACCCAGAUGUCCUCUCCUUGGGAAAAGCCCUGAUCCGCCCAUGUGCCUGGAUGACAAAGCCACACACAGCAGCUGCAGGAUAACAGUUACAGCUCUUCAGUCUGGGGAGGGCUGUGACCGUCUGAGGUUUCACAACAGGUCUGAAGGACAAGCUGAAGUAUGAACCCAGAUGCCUAGACUUGAGGUUCAAAGCAGCCUCAAGGCUCCAGUCUCCCAGGGACUUAAAGCUGUUUCUUGUCAACAACAUUGCCCAGAAGCAGCUCGGAUGCAGACUGCACGUAUACAGGUGCCCAGGACAGUCAGAGUCUUUCACAAACAUGAGCGCCUAUGUCAUUGUCAAACAGCACCGCGGUCCCUUAGUGCCUAGAAAGGAUGUCAAACCUGGGGAUGACAGCCCAGAGUCCCUUACGAACAGCAGUGUAAUGUAUGAACUAUCUAAGUA